rnacentral:rRNA from 1 species
GAUGAACGCUGGCGGCGUGCCUAAUACAUGCAAGUCGAGCGAACGGACGAGAAGCUUGCUUCUCUGAUGUUAGCGGCGGACGGGUGAGUAACACGUGGAUAACCUACCUAUAAGACUGGGAUAACUUCGGGAAACCGUAGCUAAUACCGGAUAAUAUUUUGAACCGCAUGGUUCAAAAGUGAAAGACGGUCUUGCUGUCACUUAUAGAUGGAUCCGCGCUGUAUUAGCUAGUUGGUAAGGUAACGGCUUACCAAGGCAACGAUGCAUAGCCGACCUGAGAGGGUGAUCGGCCACACUGGAACUGAAACACGGUCCAGACUCCUACGGGAGGCAGCAGUAGGGAAUCUUCCGCAAUGGGCGAAAGCCUGACGGAGCAACGCCGCGUGAGUGAUGAAGGUCUUCGGAUCGUAAAACUCUGUUAUUAGGGAAGAACAUAUGUGUAAGUAACUGUGCACAUCUUGACGGUACCUAAUCAGAAAGCCACGGCUAACUACGUG